rnacentral:rRNA from 1 species
UGGCGGCGUGCUUAAUACAUGCAAGUCGAACGAAGCACCUUGGACAGAAUCCUUCGGGAGGAAGACCAUUGUGACUGAGUGGCGGACGGGUGAGUAACGCGUGGGUAACCUGCCUUGUACAGGGGGAUAACAGUUGGAAACGACUGCUAAUACCGCAUAAGCGCACAGUACCGCAUGGUACGGUGUGAAAAACUCCGGUGGUACAAGAUGGACCCGCGUCUGAUUAGCUGGUUGGUGAGGUAACGGCCCACCAAGGCGACGAUCAGUAGCCGACUUGAGAGAGUGAUCGGCCACAUUGGGACUGAGACACGGCCCAAACUCCUACGGGAGGCAGCAGUAGGGAAUAUUGCACAAUGGGGGAAACCCUGAUGCAGCGACGCCGCGUGAAGGAAGAAGUAUUUCGGUAUGUAAACUUCUAUCAGCAAGGAAGAAAAUGACGGUACUUGACUAAGAAGCCCCGGCUAAAUACGUGCCA